AGUGAACGCUGGCGGUAGGCCUAACACAUGCAAUUCGAACGGCAGCACAGUAAGAGCUUGCUCUUACGGGUGGCGAGUGGCGGACGGGUGAGGAAUACAUCGGAAUCUACUUUUUCGUGGGGGAUAACUUAGGGAAACUUACGCUAAUACCGCAUACGACCUACGGGUGAAAGCAGGGGAUCUUCGGACCUUGCGCGAUUGAAUGAGCCGAUGUCGGAUUAGCUAGUUGGCGGGGUAAAGGCCCACCAAGGCGACGAUCCGUAGCUGGUCUGAGAGGAUGAUCAGCCACACUGGAACUGAGACACGGUCCAGACUCCUACGGGAGGCAGCAGUGGGGAAUAUUGGACAAUGGGCGCAAGCCUGAUCCAGCCAUACCGCGUGGGUGAAGAAGGCCUUCGGGUUGUAAAGCCCUUUUGUUGGGAAAGAAAAGCAGCAGGUUAAUACCCCGCUGUUCUGACGGUACCCAAAGAAUAAGCACCGGCUAACUUCGUG
rnacentral:rRNA from 1 species